rnacentral:rRNA from 1 species
GACGAGCGCUGGCGGCGUGCCUAAUACAUGCAAGUAGAACGCUGAAGAGAGGAGCUUACUCUUCUUGGAUGAGUUGCGAACGGGUGAGUAACGCGUAGGUAACCUGCCUUGUAGCGGGGGAUAACUAUUGGAAACGAUAGCUAAUACCGCAUAACAAUGUGUGACACAUGUCAUUUAUUUGAAAGGGGCAAUUGCUCCACUACAAGAUGGACCUGCGUUGGAUUAGCUAGUAGGUGAGGUAAUGGCUCACCUAGGCGACGAUACAUAGCCGACCUGAGAGGGUGAUCGGCCACACUGGGACUGGGACACGGCCCAGACUCCUACGGGAAGCAGCAGUAGGGGAUCUUCGGCAAUGGGGGCAACCCUGACCGAGCAACGCCGCGUGAGUGAAGGAGGUUUUCGGAUCGUAAAGCUCUGUUGUAAGUCAAGAACGGGUGUGAGAGUGGAAAGUUCACACUGUGACGGUAGCUUAACAGAAAGGGACGGCUAACUACGUG